GAUGAACGCUAGCGGCAGGCUUAACACAUGCAAGUCGAGGGGCAGCGCGAUGUAGCAAUACAUUGGCGGCGACCGGCGCACGGGUGCGUAACACGUAUGGAACUUACCCUUUACUGGGAGAUAGCCCGUAGAAAUCCGGAUUAAUAUCCCAUAAUAAACGAAGUGGCAUCACUUUGUUUUGAAAGCUCCGGCGGUAAAGGAUGGCCAUGCGCACGAUUAGCUAGUAGGUGAGGUAACGGCUCACCUAGGCUACGAUCGUUAGGGGGCCUGAGAGGGUUAUCCCCCACACUGGUACUGAGACACGGACCAGACUCCUACGGGAGGCAGCAGUGAGGAAUAUUGCGCAAUGGAGGCAACUCUGACGCAGCCAUGCCGCGUGCAGGAAGAAGGCGCUACGCGUUGUAAACUGCUUUUAACCGGGAAGAAACCCUCCGACGUGUCGGAGGUUGACGGUACCGGAGGAAUAAGCACCGGCUAACUUCGUGCCAGCAGCCGCGGUAAAGU
rnacentral:rRNA from 1 species